rnacentral:rRNA from 1 species
AUGCGGAGGAUGCGAGCGUUAUCCGGAUUUAUUGGGUUUAAAGGGAGCGUAGGUGGGAUAUUAAGUCAGCUGUGAAAGUUUGGGGCUCAACCUUAAAAUUGCAGUUGAUACUGGUUUCCUUGAGUACGGUACAGGUGGGCGGAAUUCGUGGUGUAGCGGUGAAAUGCUUAGAUAUCACGAAGAACUCCGAUCGCGAAGGCAGCUCACCGGGCCGGAACUGACACUGAUGCUCGAAAGUGCGGGUAUCAAACAGGAUUAGAUACCCUGGUAGUCCGCACAGUAAACGAUGAAUACUCGCUGUUUGCGAUACACUGUAAGCGGCCAAGCGAAAGCGUUAAGUAUUCCACCUGGGGAGUACGCCGGCAACGGUGAAACUCAAAGGAAUUGACGGGG